UUGAUUGGGGGAAGAUUAAUUAGUGUAUUGGAUGAUUCCAGGUGAAGCAAACUUUUGCUCCAUUUGAUGUUUUUUGUGCUGGAAGAUUGGAUUAUUCUCUAAACCGAGGAGAAAACUCAAAGAACUGGCUGCUGUUCCAUCAGAAAUCUGAAGAGCUUUUAUUUUUCUCUCCUUCUGUCACCUCCCUCAAUCACGAGCAAUGAAAACAGAUAAAGAGAGAGAGAUACACAAGAAGAGUCCUAUGAAAGAGAGAGUGGAGCUCCGGCAAGACGAGCAAUCAAGAAAGAAAAAUAGAGGGAAAAAAAGGACAGAAAAUGAGGUGUGCGUACCCGUCAAUGAUAAGAUGUUCAUAGGGUGCCUUCUUGUCACAGACGGGACACACCCAGGUGGGCUUCUUCUCGUUCAU